UAUUUUCAUUUUCUGACUAUUAUGAAUAAAGUUCCUAUGAAUAUUUAUAUAUAGGUUUCUAUGUGAACAUAAGUUAUCAUUUCUCUGGGAUACAUGCCCAAGAGUGUAACUGGUAGACCAUACAGGAA